UAGUGUGUUUAUGUGUGUUCAACUCCCGGUGUUUUAAGUUGCAGAUGUAAAUUGGGAAGGGGAAGAUUUAAUCUUUUGAGGCAUAUUUCAUUAAUUCUUGAACCUUGAGCAAAAAUGGUAUAGGCAUUGGUCCCGGACUUCCUGGUCUACAGUUUGGGGCUGGGUUCGGUGCAGGAUGUGGCGUUGGUAUUGGAUUUGGCUAUGGUCUCGGUAAGGGUGUUGCUCAUGAUGAGUAUAGGAGAUACUCUAAUGUUGGGACUUCGGAUGUGCUCGGUGCUCUAGUUGAUGAACUUGCCUCUAAUACCAAGAAAAUAGUCAAAGUGACUUCAAGAGAAAUUGAGAAGUGGAGAAGAUAGAUCAAACUUUGACAAUCUCUUCGUCUUCAAUUUGCAUUAAGUAGGAACCUUUUAGUUACAGUAUUUUAGCUAUACAUAUGCGUGCAUUAUAGAAAGUGGUUAUUUGGCGAUGCAGAUUGUGCAUGUAUCUAUCAUAUAAGGUGAUUCAUCUUUUCUUAUUUUUAGUUAUAUAAUGGUAUAUGUGAUAACCAGAUAGGUGUUUUAAGUUAAACGCUUCCUAUAAUCAUAGUUGACACCUUGUUGCACUCGA